UAAAUUUGAGUAAAGCUCAAAUAAGUAUGACAAAACAUGGAUUCACCUCAAAUGUAUGUCUUUCAAGAAAUCCCCGAGAAAUUCAUCUCAAUCAGCCACCCCACUUUACAGGAUCCAUAAUGAAAAUACAAUGUAGUACCAAAAAGAAUAUUCAAACAUCCCCCUCGCCUUAAAAUAUGUUUGACAUGACAGAAGAAAAUAAUUGAAUACUCAAAGAAAAUAAAUAAAAUGAUAAAGGUUGGAUAAGAUGAUGCUCCACAAUAAGGGAAAAAAUAAUUAAUUUUGGGUUGGAGAGUUGAUGCAAACUAUACUAUUGGAAAACUUCCAAAUCCUUUAAACAUAGUAUCAAGUAAAAUUAGCAACUAAUAUUAUAUAUCCUAAGGAAAAUAUGUUACUUGUUCAAGCGUAUGUUGACCAAGAUCCGUUGUUGAUAUCAUUACUCCCGCGGCAAAUGAA